GCCCUGGUGGCACAAUGGUGAAGCACUCGGCUGCUAACCGAAAGGUUGGUGGUUCGAACCUACCUAGUGGCU
rnacentral:tRNA from 1 species